UCACACGCGGGGAAAGUUGCGUGAGGGACUUCUCAUGCGUACGAGCCGCGUCGCGUCUCCCCCCCCCUCCCCCAAGGACCAUGACACGUGGGCCAUAGCAACCGACCUAGCCCGGCCCCACACGCUUCGCAUCCUUACCCAUCAAAACCAAACCACGGGCCUCCUCACCCCGCCGCACGCCGCCUUCCUCCCAGAUCCAAACCUCCCUCGUCGUCUCCCCUUCCCCUCCUCCUCCUCGACCCCCACGGCGGCGGCGCCACCGGACUCCGGCGAACCCUCGCGCGCGCGCGCACGCACCGAGACGUACCGUACCGGCGACAUGAAUCCCUACGACCUCCGCUACGCCGACCCUUCCUCCUACCGCGACAGGCGCAGCGACCUUGCCGGGGCUCCCGUGCUCGCCGCGUCGGCCCCCGCGGCCGCCAACCCCUACGCCGCCGCGUACGCGCCCGCGCCGGCUGCUCCCGUGGCCCCCGCUGGUGGCGACUUCUCGCGCUUCGGCGGGAGAGGCCGUGGUGGAGGCGCGGGCGGCGGUGGGUGGGGUAGAGGUGGUGGUGGUGGUGGUGGCGCUGGCGGAUACCGAGGCGGCGGUGGGAGAGGAGGUGGAAGGGACGCGCUGGACUCGCUCUCCUUGCCGAAGCCUGACUUCCGGAGCCUUAUACCCUUCGAGAAGAACUUCUAUGUGGAGUGCCCCGCCGUGCAGGCCAUGUCAGACAUGGAUGUGUCGCAGUAUCGUCGCCAGCGUGAUAUCACUGUUGAAGGCCACGACGUGCCCAAGCCGGUUCGCUACUUCCAGGAGGCCAACUUCCCAGAUUACUGUAUGCAAGCAAUAGCCAAGAGUGGAUUCGUAGAGCCCACGCCUAUUCAGUCACAAGGUUGGCCAAUGGCUUUGAAGGGCAGGGACAUGAUCGGUAUCGCACAAACUGGCUCUGGGAAAACACUAUCUUACCUUCUCCCUGGGUUGGUUCAUGUUGGUGCACAGCCUCGACUAGAACAAGGUGAUGGCCCAAUUGUUCUGAUCCUUGCUCCUACAAGAGAACUGGCUGUUCAAAUACAACAAGAAUCUGGCAAAUUUGGAUCAUACUCAAGAACUAGAAGCACUUGUAUCUAUGGUGGAGCACCUAAGGGACCACAAAUACGUGACCUUAGGAGAGGGGUUGAGAUUGUCAUUGCAACACCUGGUCGGUUGAUCGAUAUGCUGGAAGGUGGUCACACUAACCUGCGAAGAGUAACAUACCUCGUCCUGGAUGAGGCUGACCGCAUGCUUGACAUGGGUUUUGAGCCCCAGAUUCGUAAAAUAGUGGCACAGAUCCGGCCAGACAGGCAAACCUUGUAUUGGAGUGCCACUUGGCCAAGAGAAGUAGAAUCCUUGGCUAGACAAUUUCUGCAGAACCCAUACAAGGUAAUCAUAGGAUCACCUGAUCUGAAAGCUAAUCAUUCCAUACAGCAAAUUAUUGAGGUCAUAUCUGAACACGAAAAGUAUCCCAGACUCAGUAAACUUUUAUCUGAUCUAAUGGAUGGAAGCAGAAUCUUGAUAUUUUUCCAAACUAAAAAGGACUGUGACAAGGUCACUCGUCAACUUAGAAUGGAUGGAUGGCCAGCAUUAUCUAUUCAUGGUGACAAAGCUCAAGCAGAAAGGGACUAUGUUCUGGCAGAGUUCAAGAGUGGGAAAAGUCCUAUAAUGGCUGCCACAGAUGUAGCGGCACGUGGUCUUGGUAUGGUGACUUGUUUGAAAAUUAGAAUUAGGUUGUAGUUCCAAGUGCUCAAGGAUGAUAAGUCGGAGGGCUGUCAGCUGUUUUUGGUUGAGUGAACUGAACUUGUGGAUUGAUGGUGUAUGCAAGGUGCCAUCAUGUCAGAGAUGUCAAGGAUAUUAAGUGUGUGAUAAAUUUUGAUUUUCCAACAACUCUUGAAGAUUAUAUUCACAGAAUAGGUCGAACUGGCCGCGCUGGUGCUAGUGGAACUGCAUUCACCUUUUUCACACUCUCCAAUGCAAAAUUCUCCAGGAAUCUUGUUAAGAUCUUGAGGGAAGCUGGCCAGGUUGUGAAUCCAGCGCUAGAAUCUAUGGCUAAAUCUGCCAGUUCUAUGGGAGGAGGCAAUUUCCGGUCAAGGGGGCGUGGUGGGUUUGGUAACAGAUCUGGCUCAAAUAGCAUUCCCAUAAGAGGAAGAAGGCCAUACUGAGGGCGGCAAAAAGAUUAAAACUUUUACUGUAUACCGAUAGGUAUUAAAUGCAUUCUUUGGUAAAUUUCCUUUGAGAUUCCCUCGACUGCUUGAUUGACAUAAGUCAAUUUUCAUUGAUUGGAGGUGGAACAUGUCACACGAAUGGCCAAAUAUACUUAUCCAACAGCGUAGGAUAUGUGUUCCAAGUUUAGCUUCGACUUGGAGAAUGGUUUGUCCAGUGUUAUUUUGACUAUUGAGGCAACGUCCUCGUGCGGUACUGGUUAUUGUUUACUAUUGUUGGGUUACUUGAAAGAACAGUUUGCUCCAUUUGUUAUCUUUUUAGUAUCCGGGUUAUUGUUUACUAUUGUUGGGUUACUUGAAAGAACAGUUUGCUCCAUUUGUUAUCUUUUUAGUA